rnacentral:rRNA from 1 species
GACGAACACUGGCGGCGUGCUUAACACAUGCAAGUCGAACGGAAAGGCCCUGCUUUUGUGGGGUGCUCGAGUGGCGAACGGGUGAGUAACACGUGAGUAACCUGCCCUUGACUUUGGGAUAACUUCAGGAAACUGGGGCUAAUACCGGAUAGGAGCUCCUGCUGCAUGGUGGGGGUUGGAAAGUUUCGGCGGUUGGGGAUGGACUCGCGGCUUAUCAGCUUGUUGAUGGGGUAGAGGCUUACCAAGGCUUUGACGGGUAGCCGGCCUGAGAGGGUGACCGGCCACAUUGGGACUGAGAUACGGCCCAGACUCCUACGGGAGGCAGCAGUGGGGAAUAUUGCACAAUGGGCGGAAGCCUGAUGCAGCAACGCCGCGUGCGGGAUGACGGCCUUCGGGUUGUAAACCGCUUUCGCCUGUGACGAAGCGUGAGUGACGGUAAUGGGUAAAGAAGUACCGGCUAACUACGUG